AUUUUAUAUUUAAUUUAAAUUAAUAUUAAAUUUAUGUUAAAUAUUGUAUUGGGGUGAUAAAAAAAUUUAAUUAACUUUUUUAAUAUUUAACAAAUUUUAUUGACAAUAAUUAAAUGAAUUUAUUUUAUUAAUUAUUUACUAUAAUUAAUUUAAAUAAAU
rnacentral:rRNA from 1 species